GGCCUGUUGGCGCAUCGGUAGCGCGUCUCUGAGCAACUACCUCUUCUUCCCGUGUACAUAGAGCUCUUGGGCGAUUUUGGAUAGGGAAGUAAGUAGCUCGAUGGAGAAGGUAGCGGGUUCGACUCCUGCACAAGCCA